GCGAAAGUAAGUCAGGGCGCAUGGUGGAUGCCUUGGCUCACGGAGGCGACGAAGGACGUGAUAAGCUGCGAUAAGCUGCGGGUAGGAGCAAAUAUCCCUUGAUCCGCAGAUUUCCGAAUGGGACAACCCAGCAGGCUGAAGGCCUGUUAUCCCUGCCUACGCAGGGAGGCUAACCGAGGGAACUGAAACAUCUUAGUACCUCGAGGAAGAGAAAAUAACAAUGAUUCCCCCAGUAGUGGCGAGCGACCGGGGAAGAGCCCAAACCUGCCUUGUGGCAACGCAUGGCAGGGGUUGUAGGACCGCGCCGUGGUACUUGCAAAGUGAGAAGAAGUAUCUGGAAAGUUACAUCAUAGAAGGUGAUAAUCCUGUAUUCGAAACUACUGCGAGACCUAGCGGUAUCCUGAGUAACGCGGGACACGUGUAAUCCUGCGCGAAUCCGCCGGGCCCAUCCGGCAAGGCUAAAUACUCCCGUGAGACCGAUAGCGUACCAGUACCGUGAGGGAAAGGUGAAAAGUACCCCUAUAAGGGGAGUGAAAGAGUACCUGAAACCAUGCGCCUACAAGCGGUCGGAGCUGCUAUAUGCAGUGACGGCGUGCCUUUUGCAUAAUGAACCUACGAGUUACCGUCACAGGCGAGGUUAAGGAAGAUGACUUCCCGAGCCGCAGUGAAAGCGAGGCUGAAGAGGCCGUAUAGUCUGUGGAGGUAGACGCGAAACCGAGUGAUCUACACAUGUCCAGGAUGAAGUCCCGGUAACACGGGAUGGAGGUCCGCACCGAUAAGCGUUGAAAAGCUUCCGGAUGAGGUGUGUGUAGGAGUGAAAGGCCAAUCAAACUCGGAGAUAGCUCGUACUCCCCGAAAGGCAUUUAGGUGCCGCGUCACAUGAUCUGUAUGAGAGGUAGAGCGACCGAUAGGUCAAGAGGGCUUCACCGCCUAUCGCGACCUGACGAACUCCGAAUGCUCAUACACUGCAGUGUGGCAGUAAGG
rfam:Cellulomonas carbonis T26 contig229, whole genome shotgun sequence.